CUGAGUGACAGAGCAAGACUCUGUCUCAAAAAAGAAAAAAAAAGAAGAAAAAGAAAAAAAGGAAGAUCAGGCCUCAUAAACCUAACUGAAUGUCUUUGAUCCUGAAGUUUUGACUUUGAGGACAUUCUUUGCUCUUUGUCCAUAACAUAGCAUAACAUGGAGAGUAAAUAUUUGGCAUACAAAAUAAUUGGAAGGGUAAAAUAGGGCUAAAUUUAAAAUUUCAGACCUUGACAUCAUGCUAUGAUGUCACCUUUGGUCAAAUCUGAUCCAGGAAAAAGCAGACUUGGUAAACCUAACUGAGAUAAAAUAAAACCAAUUAUAGCUAAAACUGACCAUAGUAAGUUGUUACUAACUGAAAAUUGACAAAAAAAUAAAAUUUCACCACAACAUCAAAAUAUAAAAAUUUGACCCAAGAAAACUAGAUUUGAUAGCAAUAAAUGCCAC
rnacentral:lncRNA from 1 species